rnacentral:rRNA from 1 species
AGUGAACGCUGGCGGUAGGCCUAACACAUGCAAGUCGAACGGCAGCACAGUAAGAGCUUGCUCUUACGGUUGGCGAGUGGCGGAUGGGUGAGGAAUACAUCGGCAUCUACUUUUUCGUGGGGGAUAACGUAGGGAAACUUACGCUAAUACCGCAUACGGCCUACGGGUGAAAGCAUGGGAUCUUCGGACCUUGCGCGAUUGAAUGAGCCGAUGUCGGAUUAGCUAGUUGGCGGGGUAAAGGCCCACCAAGGCGACGAUCCGUAGCUGGUCUGAGAGGAUGAUCAGCCACACUGGGACUGAGACACGGUCCAGACUCCUACGGGAGGCAGCAGUGGGGAAUAUUGGACAAUGGGCGCAAGCCUGAUCCAGCCAUACCGCGUGGGUGAAGAAGGCCUUCGGGUUGUAAAGCCCUUUUGUUGGGAAAGAAAAGCAGCAGGUUAAUACCCCGCUGUUCUGACGGUACCCAAAGAAUAAGCACCGGCUAACUUCGUG